AAGCAGGAUAGGAACCUGGAGGCAGA
rnacentral:piRNA from 1 species